UACAGAGGUCUCAAGCGUUGUUCGGAUUCAUUGGGCGUAAAGGGUGCGUAGGCGGCGCGGUAAGUCGGGUGUGAAAUUUCGAGGCUUAACUUCGAAACUGCAUUCGAUACUGCCGUGCUUGAGGACUGGAGAGGAGACUGGAAUUUACGGUGUAGCGGUGAAAUGCGUAGAUAUCGUAAGGAAGACCAGUGGCGAAGGCGGGUCUUGC
rnacentral:rRNA from 1 species